CUGGCUUCGAGCGUACGGCACGCGUGCAGCGAUAUCUCAGAGGCCACAGCGGAGCCUGCGAAGCGCAGUGUGACCCGAGGGCUAGGAAGACGCUCAAAUGCGGCUCUACUACAAAUGGUCUUCUGCGGUGGAGGUCCUUCAUGAUUGACCUUUGGCCGCUCACUUCCUGAAAGUCUUAAAGGGAACCAACCUCUAUUUAAGACGGUCCUGAACAUCACAAGCGUUUCACUAUAACGUCGGCGUCCUGCACCAUGAGCUGGGCAUCCUUGUGAUCACCGGACUCAACCGACCGCCACCGGGACUGUGUCGUGUCGAAGGACUGUCCACUAGCAUUCCCGGUCCGGACCUCAUCAUCCCGGCACCAUAGCAGAUUGCAACGGUACAACAAUGGGGAUCAGCCAUCCACGACCGUGCCCGCCAAGCGGAGGGAGCAGGCCUUAUGGCAAAUCAAGGUCACAGAUUCAUCCUAUAUUGGAAAAAUAAAGCUGUCUCAUAAAAAUCUA